UACAGAGGUCUCAAGCGUUGUUCGGAUUCAUUGGGCGUAAAGGGUGCGUAGGCGGCGCGGUAAGUCGGGUGUGAAAUCUCGGAGCUUAACUCCGAAACUGCAUUCGAUACUGCCGUGCUUGAGUUCGGCAGGGGAGACUGGAAUUCCUGGUGUAGCGGUGAAAUGCGCAGAUAUCAGGAGGAACACCGGUGGCGAAGGCGGGUCUCUGGGCCGAUACUGACGCUGAGGAGCGAAAGCGUGGGGAGCAAACAGG
rnacentral:rRNA from 1 species